AUGAGGGUGAGGGAUAAGAGGUGCUAUAUCUAUGGUAAUAGAGGACACCCCUGUUCUUCACGUACUUUGUCGAACCAGUGUCCUCAACAUACUGUGUCCUCGUAUUUGAGUCUGGGUUCAUUGCUGAACACCAUGGCGGGUGGGGGAGAGAUGAAGGAAAGGUCAGUAGAGGCGGGGAAGGAGGGUAUGGUGAGCUUGGGAGGGGUGCUUGCCACGGCAGAGGAGCUGCGAUCCCAGCCGGCAAUGGCCGGGGCUGGGGCUUCUCUGCUCCAGCCUACUCCGGACCGGAUGGGGAAGAUGGGGCCGGGGCGCUCCCGUGGCGACAGCGUGCCUCUCGUCAUCAACAUGGAGGCGGCUCGCAAGGCCGUCGGCGGCUUUAUGGUGGUCGGGCGCCUUCUCUCCCCCUUCCAGGUCAACCCGAGGGUCAUUGUUGACGACCUCCGGUACACGGCUUGGAAGAACCAAGGGAUGGUCACCAUCCAAGAGGUGGCAAGCGAUGAUGGGAGGUUCAUCCUCAAUUUAGCUGCUGAGAGUGACCGUCGGUUUGUGCUUAAGGCGCAGCCAUGGCACUUCAAGCGGGACGGUCUCAUCUUCGCCGAGUUCGACGGCAAGGGCGACCCGGCGAAGGUCGACCUUGGCGUCAUGACCAUAUGGGUCUAG
rnacentral:rRNA from 1 species